GGCUAGGACACUAUUGGACAUGCUCAAGCAGCCCAUUGCCCAGCCUAAUAAAGCUGGAUAUAAAAUCUAUAUCUUGUUCUACGUGAAGAGAAAAAGAUAGAGAGAGGGGGAAGAUGGGUUUGUGGAAAAGAUCAAUGAAUGAGCUGAAGCCAGUUUAUAAGCGAGCCAAGCAUUAUUUUGACCACAGCGACAGUCUUGAUCCCAUCAUAAGGUUCGCAUUUGUUCUCACCAUCGGCGCAUCGUGGGUUAGGGCGCGUAGUCCAUGAUUCGCUCUGUAACGUGAUGCUCGUAUGCGUUACUCGCAUUCUUAUAUGUAUGUGAUGAAUUUAUCCUUAAUAUUCUAAAUUAGAUGUGAUGGAAUGUAUCUUUUGCGACGGUUUAUUAUGUUUGAUGAAGAAUUUAGUGAUCAAAACUUCGAAUGCAAAGACUUGAGGUUGACUGCUAUUAUAUGUUAAUGAUAUAGUACAAUUUUCUAUUA